UACGUAGGGGGCAAGCGUUGUCCGGAAUCAUUGGGCGUAAAGCGCGUGUAGGCGGCUUGGUAAGUCCGGUGUGAAACCUUGGGGCUCAACCCCAAGCCUGCAUCGGAAACUGCCUCGCUCGAGUCCGGGAGGGGAGAGCGGAAUUCCUAGUGUAGCGGUGAAAUGCGCAGAUAUUAGGAAGAACACCGGUGGCGAAGGCGGCUCUCUGGAACGGUACUGACGCUGAGACGCGAAAAGCGUGGGGAGCGAACAGG
rnacentral:rRNA from 1 species